UCUUCAAUAUCUUGUCUAUUUUGAGAACUCUUAUCUAACCAGGACUCUAUUCCUGGGGUUGAUCACUAUGACUGAUGUGAAGUCAUAGUCCCAUUAUCUCUGGACCAAAGUUUGAUCUUCUUUUUUCUUUUUUUCUAUCCCGCUCUGUGAGAAGUGAAAACAAAUUCACACACAAGAAACAAGUUCACAUGUCUCCGAGACUCACUAUCCAUCACGAAAGCUAGAAACAUAAUCCUGUCCAAGGGCCACAGUAAGAAUUUGAGACCACAUAGCCACCGACAAAUUCUGAUGACCAAGGGUGACCUUAAGUCUCCAUUGACUUGCUAUAAAUGUACAGAGGAUUGUAGUGAAGGAGAAUGAGGCCGCGGACCCACACUUAGAUGUACAGAGGAUUACAAUGGUUCCUGCAUCAGGAUGUUAUCAAUGGAUCUGCUGACUGGUGGAGGAAAAGGAGCUCAGCACUGCCUCCCUGUGGAGAACAGCUGGACCACACAUCCUGGACUUUGUGGUGACAGACAGUAACAGUGUGGAUGACGUAGCAGCCACUUGACUCAUCUGCCAAUCAGAUCUCAGUCAAAAUACACGUUCUUGUGCUGACCUGAUGGGCCCGACAAAUAAGGUCCAUGUCGUGUUUGUGGAGGAACUUUGUGACGACGUCGGCGCCGAACGUGAAGGAGACGCCGCGGUCGUUCUCGCCCCAGCCCAG